rnacentral:rRNA from 1 species
UACGGGGGGGGCAAGCGUUGUUCGGAAUUACUGGGCGUAAAGGGCUCGUAGGUGGCCAACUAAGUCAGACGUGAAAUCCCUCGGCUUAACCGGGGAACUGCGUCUGAUACUGGAUGGCUUGAGUUUGGGAGAGGGAUGCGGAAUUCCAGGUGUAGCGGUGAAAUGCGUAGAUAUCUGGAGGAACACCGGUGGCGAAGGCGGCGUUCUGGACUGCUACUGACACUGAGGAACGUAAGCCAGGGGAGCAAACGGG